AACGCACAUUGCGCUUUCUGGUAUUCCGGAGAGCAUGCCUGUUUCAGAAUCGAUAAAUUGUCUUGUCUUGUGUCCUGGACAUGGAACAAGGAUUUUUUGGAUGUUUUUGCUUUUGUUGAAAACCAAUCAUCCUCGAAUUCAUUGGAAGAUAUUUCCCAAUCGGAGCCGGGCUUCAUUUCUCCAAGUGCAACAAUAAGGGGGACAUUGGAAACACUGUGGGUCUUGAUGGGAGGGUAAUGAUGAUUGCGUUGAGAUGUCUUCUUCAAAAACAAACAAACAAACAUGCAGAGACAAUACAUAUCUCUGCAGAGGUCUCGAUCUGAAAUCAGGCAGGAAAACCCGCUGAACUUAA
rnacentral:misc_RNA from 1 species